ACUCAAAGGAAUUGACGGGGACCCGCACAAGCGGUGGAGCAUGUGGUUUAAUUCGAAGCAACGCGAAGAACCUUACCAGGGUUUGACAUACCAAAGCAAGUCUAAGAGAUUAGAUGUUCCUUCGGGACUUUGGAUACAGGUGGUGCAUGGUUGUCGUCAGCUCGUGUCGUGAGAUGUUGGGUUAAGUCCCGCAACGAGCGCAACCCUUAUCGUUAGUUACUACCAUUAAGUUGAGGACUUUAACGAGACUGCCAGUGAUAAACUGGAGGAAGGCGGGGAUGAGGUCAAAUCAUCAUGCCCCUUAUACCCUGGGCUACACACGUGCUACAAUGGUCGGUACAAAGAGAAGCGAAGCUGUGAAGUGAAGCAAACCUCAUAAAGCCGAUCUCAGUUCGGAUUGUAGUCUGCAACUCGACUACAUGAAGAUGGAAUCGCUAGUAAUCGCGGAUCAGAAUGCCGCGGUGAAUACGUUCCCGGGUCUUGUACACACCGCCCGU
rnacentral:rRNA from 1 species